GUUAAUGAAAGUUAAAUUAAUGUUUACUUUAGCUGAUAUAGAGAAGAGUAGCAUGGCCCCUGCCCAAGGAUAAUACACAUAUAUCUGAAACAUUCCAUAUAUUU